UGUUUAGAUUGAUCUUUCACUAAAUAACUACUUCUAGGAUUUCUAUUUUUCUCUUUUUUUAUUUCCCUCUAUCCAUGAUUUGCACUGUGAUGACCUUCUUAAUCUAGUUUUUAAAUCAUCUCUAUCAAACUAAGAUCAAACUAUCUCAUCUUGUUAUUAUAAUAUUAAUAUGACCUAUGUUUUUUUCAGCUUGGCCGCCUUGUUCAAAAAAGCACAUCAUUUGUAUUCAGAGACACUUGAUGAUGUGACUCUCUUGAUGAUAAGAAGGUUGUACACAGCCUGCUGAGGUCAAGUUCCCAGCAGUCACAAAGUACGUCAGUGGUGCCGGUG
rnacentral:lncRNA from 1 species